UUGACAUGAUGUGAUCAAACAUAUUUGCUACUUCAGAGGACAAUGUCCGAUGAGACAAUUUUAUCCACCAAGAUCUCUGAUCUC
rnacentral:snoRNA from 1 species